rnacentral:rRNA from 1 species
UACGUAGGGUGCGAGCGUUGUCCGGAAUUAUUGGGCGUAAAGAGCUCGUAGGCGGUUUGUCGCGUCGGCCGUGAAAACUUGGGGCUUAACCCCAAGCCUGCGGUCGAUACGGGCAGACUUGAGUUCGGCAGGGGAGACUGGAAUUCCUGGUGUAGCGGUGAAAUGCGCAGAUAUCAGGAGGAACACCGAUGGCGAAGGCAGGUCUCUGGGCCACUACUGACGCUGAGAAGCGAAAGCAUGGGGAGCGAACAGG